CUUUUGGAAUUUUGGUGUGCCUAGAAGGUACCUUUGGUUUGGCCUACCUAUAUGGCCACCGUAUCCAUCUGUAUUCCCCGCCGCCGUUUGUGGGCAAGUUCAAGGAGUGGAAAAUGAAAGAGGGAGAAACAAAUAGUAAACCAAAGAAGCCCGCAAAGUGCUAACUGAAUGUUCGUUUUGUCACCUCUUAUCUAUCAUUCAGUUUAGUUUGAACGGUAUUAACACGGGCCAAUAUCUUAUCGAAAUCGAUACAGGAACACGCUACAUAGAUACUUUCUAAGUGCCAACGAACGCCCGACCUUAAACUGCAGCCCCCCGCAAACAUCGAGCCCCCCUUUUGGACCUAUCCAAUGCACUUGGCAAGCGGUACAGUCCUCCGUUCAUUGGCAUUUGGCCGCAAAAAAAUUGCACAACUAAAUGGUAUACAAAUGCGGCAGACGGACGGAUCGUCAGCGGUUGCCAGACCGUGACAGCAGGGCCAUACCAAACAAGUUUCUGCUACCGACUGGCGAAUUGCAAAAAAAAAA